GGUGGCGAGUGGCGAACGGGUGAGUAAUACAUCGGAACGUGCCCAGUCGUGGGGGAUAACGUAGCGAAAGCUACGCUAAUACCGCAUACGAACUCUGGUUGAAAGCGGGGGAUCGCAAGACCUCGCGCGAUUGGAGCGGCCGAUGGCAGAUUAGGUAGUUGGUGGGGUAAAGGCCUACCAAGCCGACGAUCUGUAGCUGGUCUGAGAGGACGACCAGCCACACUGGGACUGAGACACGGCCCAGACUCCUACGGGAGGCAGCAGUGGGGAAUUUUGGACAAUGGGCGCAAGCCUGAUCCAGCCAUUCCGCGUGCAGGAUGAAGGCCCUCGGGUUGUAAACUGCUUUUGUACGGAACGAAAAGCCUUCUUCUAAUACAGGGAGGUCAUGACGGUACCGUAAGAAUAAGCACCGGCUAACUACGUGCCAGCAGCCGCGGUAAUACGUAGGGUGCAAGCGUUAAUCGGAAUUACUGGGCGUAAAGCGUGCGCAGGCGGUUAUGUAAGACAGGUGUGAAAUCCCCGGGCUUAACCUGGGAACUGCAUUUGUGACUGCAUAGCUAGAGUACGGUAGAGGGGGAUGGAAUUCCGCGUGUAGCAGUGAAAUGCGUAGAUAUGCGGAGGAGCACCGAUGGCGAAG
rnacentral:rRNA from 1 species